CCCAUUGGCCUCUUUCUGGAGGGCGGAGCAGAGGGCUGCUCCGGAAGGAGUGGAAAACGAGCUUCUGAGACGCUGCCUAGUGGAGCCGGCCCUCAUCCCAUUCCGGGAUAAAGAUCAGUGGGGUUGAGGUGGAGAGGGACCCCACAGUUCCCGCACCUGCCCUUGUGACAUCACUGGCAGCCUGAGGAGUGGAGGUUUGGGGCUCCCUCCACUUCGGGGUCCCUACUGGCCAGCCCCUGACAGCACCAGAGGCCUGACUUCAAGACACAGGCUGUGCUGAAAGUGACCAGCCUUCCAUUUAGCUCCUGCCCUCCACCUGGGAAAGUUCACAGGAUCCUGGGCUGAGAGCCCUCUCUCCAUCCCCAGGUCCACUCCUUGAGUCCGUUAAGGCCUGGCAUCACAAGUUUCCAGGUGGCUCCUUUCCAACCUCUCCUGCCUCCUCUUCAAACAUGGCUGAUUCUACACGACUGCCCUGCUCAAGAGCACUUCACACGUACGCAGCCAAACUCCUUGGCCUGGCUUUUGGGGCUUUCCCUAAAUUGGCCUCAUCAUGCUUUAUUUUUCAGCCCAUAAUGCUUGUCAUCUGUCUUCAGCCGGAGGGGCACAGCUAACUUCAUGUUGCUCUCCCCCUGGCGGUGCCCUGCCUGUUCUCUGCCUGCAAGUCCUACCAGCAUGCAUCUUCAAAACGCCGCUCCAGCCCGUCCUGACUCCACCAGGCCCAACUUCUGCUUCCACACAGGAGAGCACCCCUUGUUGUGCUCCCUUGUUGUCCUGGAUGUGGCUCACCUCUGUCCCCUCAUGCCCCUCUGGGCUCCUAGUGAAGCACUGGGUGUCUGCCGGGGGGUCCCUGGCACUGACUCUCACUACCUUCCUGGGCUUCACUUCAUUCCUUACUUGAAUUCCCCGAACAGCAAAUCUUCCAUGCGGCCACCUCUGACCUCUGGGGCAACUCUCAAGAGUCCAGCAGAGGGUGGUGGUAAAAUCAAAAGAAGACUGAUGAGAAGGACUCGAAGAAAACUUUUAGAAAGAAACCAGAGACUAAGCAGGGAUGCGUGUGAAAUACUGGUUUUUAUUGGUUGGCACAAUAUUACAGCCUACAGUUCCAAUGCCCUCCCUCCCACACAGCUCGAGGGGAAAGAAGCUGAUGGGCACACAGAAAGGAACAGCACACUCACAGGUUUAAGCAUGUUUUUACAAAAAGGAGUCAGAUAUAGGGGUGGUGGGAUUCUAGGGAUAGUACCAGAGCUCCAGCUAGACUAUGGGGGAGGGCUUUGCUGUCCUCUGCAGCCGGCACACAUGAGGGGAUGCUUUAGUAAGGGGAUGGUCACACACGGCUGGCUGGCUGGCUAUUAAAGGGGGAAAAGGGGGACUUGCAUCUGCUGUGCACCUGUCUCAGACCCAAACCUGAACUUUCUUUUCAGCCCUCCCCCACAACCUGCCUGCCCCCACGGGAAAGAGAGGUAUGAAGGAAGCCUAAGAACAGCCUCCUAGAGAAAGGGUGCAGGAAAACUCAGUUUCCUUCCACCUCCUCUGGACCCAUUCUGCUCCCCUCAGCUCCUAAGAGCACUGAGAGACUGGGGAAGAAGCCAGGCCUGGGCAGGCAGCUCCAGGUGGGCAGGGAGGAAAACUCGCUUUUCCAUACAAUACCAAGCAAGGUUGUUUUGCAAACGAAAAAAUGGAAAACAAGACCAUGCACCCCUGGGUCAGGAGCUCCUACGUCCUGGAGCACAUUUGGAUAGGGGUAAGGGCGACGUUAUUCCAAACCCCAGUUGUGAAAGGUCCCAAGAGGUUAAGGGACCAUAACCAACCCCUCCUCCCACACAAGUGCCUUUCCUUGGAUUCCCUGGGGUUUUGUUGAGCUCAUCUGGGGUUAUUCUGCUAC